rnacentral:lncRNA from 1 species
ACUCAAUGUUCUGGGACAAGAAGAGGAAGCAGCAGAGAGAUGGCCUAGAGGAGAAUGAAGAAACAAACACCUGGAAACCGUCAUCAUUGGGCCCAGAACAACACAGCUCAGCUCUGAAAGAUGAAAAUAGAGUUUCAUCUGGCAAGAGGGACUUAUUUUUGCCAAGCGUGAUGAAGACACAUCCACCUUACCUCGGAGAUGGGAAUGCAGUACUAAGGA